rnacentral:sRNA from 1 species
CUUCAAAGCAACCGGUGAGAAUGAAGA